GGACUACUCGGGUAUCUAAUCCUGUUUGCUCCCCACGCUUUCGCGCCUCAGCGUCAGUUACGGUCCAGAGAGCCGCCUUCGCCACCGGUGUUCUUCCCAAUAUCUACGAAUUUCACCUCUACACUGAGAAUUCCACUCUCCUCUCCCGUACUCCAGCCCCAGAGUAUCAAGCGCAAUUCCUAGGUUGAGCCCAGGGCUUUCACGCCUGACUUCCAGGGCCGCCUGCGCGCCCUUUACGCCCAGUAAUUCCGAACAACGCUCGCCCCCUUCGUAUUACCGCGGCGGCUGGCAC
rnacentral:rRNA from 1 species